CCACGAGUUUGAUUUUGCUAGCAGUGUUCUCCACAUCGAAAAUAUCUACUGAGUUUUUAGUUAUAAAAUGUUUUUGUAUAAACAUGAACGACGAGAAGUUAAUCGAACUCGUUCUCCAAAAUGUGGAGUUGUAUGACAUGAGCUGCAAAAAAUACAGCGACACUUUGUUUAAAGAAGAAAUAUGGAAGAAAAUUGGAUUGGUUAUCGGUCGCCCAGAUUUCACUGAAUGUGACUGUAUGCAAGAAAUGGUAAACAGCAGAUUUCAUACCAAUUAUUGGAUGAUUCUCUUGCUGGAAAUUGGUGGGACCAUUCUUGUAUUAUAAGAAGGAAAUGGCACAUUAGCACCAAAGGAACAUAUCUGUGAACAGUUGCUGUAAGGGAUGUUGUGUGCCUAUCAUGCAGGAUGUGUGCCAUUCAUUGAUCUCUCUGUGAAAUAGUGGCGUGGAUGGAAAAUAAUAUGCACAGGCAUUACGUAAAUUCUGCAGGUAAAUGUAAAGAGAACAGUUACUACAAAAAAAGGGCACAUGGCUACUAGCAGAUCAAUGUAAUGCACUGAAAUUCAUAUAUUGAAGUAUUCAAUACCAUACCAAAUAGAUCACUUGAGCCUCAUUUUGUUACAUUUGUAAGUACCCUGCCUCAUGUCUUUAUUUAUUUGUGUUAAAUGCUGUUCAUUAUGUUACCUUUGAAUAUAAUACAAUGAUGUUACACAAUACAAUACAAUGUGUACAAUACAAUGAUGUUAUUAGUCAAUUGUGCAAAAGAUCUAUUUGCCUACUAUGUAAGCACCAUACUAUCUACUAACAUUUGUACAAAAACAAACAAACUACAUGAAACUAUCCAAUAUUGUUUUAUGCCAUACAUGUUAGCAAAUAAAUUUAA